UACGUAGGGUGCAAGCGUUAAUCGGAAUUACUGGGCGUAAAGCGUGCGCAGGCGGUUUUGUAAGUCUGACGUGAAAUCCCCGGGCUCAACCUGGGAAUUGCGUUGGAGACUGCAAGGCUAGAAUCUGGCAGAGGGGGGUAGAAUUCCACGUGUAGCAGUGAAAUGCGUAGAGAUGUGGAGGAACACCGAUGGCGCAAGGCAGCCCCCUGGGUCAAGAUUGACGCUCAUGCACGAAAGCGUGGG
rnacentral:rRNA from 1 species